AGAUUGAACGCUGGCGGCGUGCCUAACACAUGCAAGUCGAGCGGUAACAGGUGUAGCAAUACAUGCUGACGAGCGGCGAACGGGUGAGUAAUGCUUUGGAAUCUUCCCAGUAGUGGGGAAUAACCAGUCGAAAGAUUGGCUAAUACCGCAUACGUCUGUAAAGGGAAAGCGGGGGCUCGUAAGACCUCGCGCUAUUGGAUGAGCCAAAGUCGGAUUAGCUAGUUGGUGGGGUAAUGGCCUACCAAGGCGACAAUCCGUAGCUGGUCUGAGAGGACGACCAGCCACACCGGAACUGAGACACGGCCCAGACUCCUACGGGAGGCAGCAGUGGGGAAUAUUGCGCAAUGGGCGAAAGCCUGACGCAGCGACGCCGCGUGGGGAUGAAGGCCUUCGGGUUGUAACCCUUUCGGCAGGGACGAAGCGAAAGUGACGGUACCUGCAAAGAAGCGCCGGCUAACUACGUGCCAGCAGCCGC
rnacentral:rRNA from 1 species